rnacentral:rRNA from 1 species
CAGAGGGUGCGAGCGUUGUUCGGAAUUACUGGGCGUAAAGCGCGCGCAGGCGGCUUCUUAAGUCUGCCGGUGAAAUGCCGGGGCUCAACCCCGAGCGUGCCGGAGAUACUGGGAGGCUGGAGACGAGUAGAGGCGAGCGGAAUUCCGGGUGUAGCGGUGGAAUGCGUAGAGAUCCGGAAGAACACCGGAGGCGAAGGCGGCUCGCUGGGCUCGGUCUGACGCUGAGGCGCGAAAGCGUGGGGAGCGAACAGGAUUAGAUACCCUGGUAGUCCACGCCGUAAACGAUGGGCACUAGGCGCUGGGGGGAUCGACCCUUCGGUGCCGCAGCUAACGCGAUAAGUGCCCCGCCUCGGGGAGUACGGCCGCAAGGCUG